UACUUCGGAAGGCCUGGUUAUGAAACUUGUUAUCAUUAUUUUAUUUGGAUUCAUGGUCCGACUGGGGGCCUUUUCCCAGAUUUUAGAUAAAGGUCAUUUUCAGUUGUUAGAGAUUUCGUAGACUGAUGUUAGACGUUGUUAGAGGUUUAUGGAUUCCAUUCUAGGUUGUUCAAUUGAAUUAUGAUAUUGACCAUGAUUCCGUGUUGUUUUACAUUUCCACAUUUUUCUUCAUAUUAUAUGAAAGUGUGUAUGAUUGCCUGAUAAAUAAGGGUGCUCAGGCCUUCACGGUUUGGGAUGCUCGUCAUGGCUAGGACCCCGACUCAUGUCAUGACAGUAACAUACCAUAAUUAACACCUCAAGCUCACUAGGUUCAUGGUAUAGUGACCAACUGAAAAUUAUUCAGAUAUCGCAAGUAUACUAGUAGUUGUUUACUUAUCUUUCUGAUUAUUGUCCAUUAUAGUCAUUGUUAAACAAUAUCAACAACCUUAUGAUGUUGCACCUGCAUCCUUUGUUUGUCUGAUCCUCAAAUUAGGAAAACUCUGCUUAUCAAGGAGAAUGAUUUUCUUGCCUCUUAAUGGGACUUCCUGAAAAUUAUGAAAUUCAUAUGUACCUACAACAUAAAAACCUAGGUUAGCAAAAUAAUCAGCAAGAGUAUUUCCCUCCCUAAAGGAGUGUUGUACUCUUACUGUCAAAAGAGCCUUUAGCCUUCUAAUGGAGUUGACCUCCAUUGUCACACUGCAAGGAACUUCCCAGAUACCAUUUAUAAUAUUCACCAUGGCCAAAGAAUCUAUUUCAACAAUAAUAUUCGAAUAUCCCUUCUCCCAGCAGAAAUGAAUUCCUUCCCUAAUGGCGAUGGCUUCAGCUAAUAAAUUAGUAGACUCAACUAAUUUUAUAACUUUUGCUCCCAACAAUUCUCCAUAAUUAUCUCACACACAAAAGGCUGCUGAACUAGAACCUGGAUUUACCUCUAGAUACUCCAUCUGUAUUGCAUUUCCACCACCCUUGUGGAGGUUUAUUCCAUGUAACCACCUUGCUAUGAAACUCCGGCCUGUAACAAUCUAAAAGCUCAACAACCAUUUAAGGCCAUGAAUUUGAAAUUUCUGGAUAUUUAAAUUUCAAACUCAUAAAUUUAUGAAUUGUUCUGGUGAUAUCCAAAAACAAUUUGCCUGUUGAAUACCUCUCCCCAUGUAAAACAACAUUCCUCCAUUUCCAUAGAAACCACAAAAUAAUGUUAGGUACAGCUUGAAAAAUCACUUUCCGUCUAGAAUUACUUUGUGCUUCCCACCAAACUGUCAUAGUUUGUUUAAUCUAAACUCUAGGAUCAACAAUACCUGCAGCAGAAGAAAAAUAAUUCCAAAUAGAAGUAGCAAUUUUUCCUUUCAAAAAUAAAUGCUCCAUUGUUUCAUUUUCCUGCCUCGAAAAACGUGAGCAUAACUGAGAGAUAUUAGGAUUCCAUUUUUCUAAAGUUGCAGCCAUAGGAACUCUAUUAGUCCACACUCUCCACCCAAAAAAAGAAGUUUUGAAAGGUAGGCCUUUCACCCAAAUAUUCUUGGAAUAAUCAGAAGUCUCCACUUUCUUUCUUAGCAGUUCCAAAGUAGAUUUGACUGAAAACUUUCAAGAGCUAUUUUUAAGCCACCAAGGUUUAUCUCUCCCAUCACUUUGCCUAACACAAUCCAUAUGUUGUUUAACAAAAUCAACAAUGUGGACUGGCAUAUGGUUUUCCAUCUCUAUGUAAUCCUAUCUGUAUCCUUCAAAAAUACUUCAAAAUCAAACGAUUGCAUGAAGAAAUAUCUAACUGAAGAAUGUGUAAUGGACCAAACUAGUCCAAUUAUCAUACCAUACAGUAGAUGAACCCCCUUUAGGUUCCCACCAUAAAUAUUUUCCAAUACAGUCCCUAUUUUGGAGCAUGAAUUUCCAUUGUUGGGAUCCACCUUUCCAUUGAACUAGAGUUGGAAGCUGCUUCUUACAAUAUUUAUUCCAUAUAUAAUGUGACCAUAAAGAAUUUUGUGUUCUGAACCUCCACCAGAGUUUUGCAUGCAUAGCUCGGGAGAUUUCAGAUAGAGAUUUGAACCCCAAACCCCCUUCUUGUUUAGGCAAACAUAAUUCAACCCAAGCAGCCCAAUGCUUACUUCUACCUAUCCCUUUGUUACUCCAAAAAAAAAAUGGCAAAAAUCCUAUGCAACUCCUUUAUGACACAUUUUGGGGGCACAAUCGCUGAAAGCAUAUGAACCGGAAUACUUUGCAACACACUUGUAAUCAAGAACUCUUUACCACCAUAAGACAACAUGUUCCCUUUCCAUGAUUGUAUCUUAGAUUUCACUCUAUUAAUAAGAUCAACAUAAUGCUCCUUUCUCUUUCUUGAGUGUGUUAUAGGACAUUCGAGAUAUUUUAGAGGGAACUGGCCUCUAGAAAUACCUAUACUCUCCUUUGCCAAUUGCCUUACAUCAGCAGCAACAUUUUGAUGAAUGUAAAAAGCACUUUUAUCCUUGUUAAACUUUUGACCAGAUUGAGCUUCAUAAUCCUUCAAAAUAGACACUAUUUUUUUAGAGAGUAAGGAUCUACAGAUGCAAAAAUUAUAGUGUCAUUGUUAGGAAAUAGUAUAAUUGUAUGGACAGAAUAUUCUCUUUCCUAGAAUAGGAUUUUAUUACUGAUUGUGUAGUUAUAACAAUAUAUAUUCUUUCGUAAAAUAGAACUCUAACCUAUAGUUGUAUAGCUAUAAGUAUUUCAUUAUGUAUUAUGGAACAAGAUAAGUUGUUAUUCAGAAAAUCUUGGUUUCUCUUGUUUCUCUGUCAUGGUAUCAAGAGCCACAACCUAAUUUAUUUUUAUAUUUCCGUGCUUUCUGUAUUCUUUGUAUAGGUACUUUGCUACCUUCAUAAGUUCCUUUUGUUCUCUCUAUUUUUUCCCCCUCUUUUGUAACCAAUCGAUCAAUGGAUUCACAAUCCUCUUUGCACGAUUUGCUCUCCACAAAAUUGGAUGGUUCCAAUUUUGCUCUUUGGGAAUUACACUUUAGAAUCUUUGUUUCAAGGCAAGGUCCUUUUUGGGUUGUUAGAUGGAUCUGCUCGUCCACCCAUAGAUGCAAAAUAGUUGGAUCGUUGGAAAUUGAAUAAUGCGAAGGUAAUCGCUUACAUGUUGAAUUCGGUACAUGAUAAUAUUGCUAUGGGGCUUAGACCAUUCAGUUUGGCUUCUGAGAUGUGGACCUACCUCCAUACAAUCUACCAACAAAGAAGCCUUGCACAAGAGUUUGAAUUGGAACACAACAUUGCAGAAUAAACACAGGGGGACAAGAAUGUUCGCUCCUUUUAUGAUAUCUUGCAGUUGCUCUGGUCGGAACAAGAUCAAAUUCUCGAAAAAAAUAUUUCUAAGGCAUGGCUCAAGAAGGUGCUGGAAGAACCAAAGAAGUCAAGGGUGGUGCAAUUCUUAAUGACACUCCGUCCUGAAUUUGAGCCGAUUCAUGGCAGUUUGUUGAACAGGGAAGUCAUACCUACUCUUGAUGUUAUGUUGGCAGCCGUCUUACGUGAAGAGAUAAGAAUUGGAACUCAGGCUGUUAUGGAGUCUACACCAUUACCUUCUGUUGCAUUACUUGCAGGAAAAUCAACAACCGUUGCUUCAACAAGAAAUACAAAGAGAAGUGUCCAAUGCUAUGAUUGCCAAUACUUUGGUCACAUCGCAGCCAAUUGUCUUAAGAAAAAAAACAUUUAUGCUUAUUACAAAAUUGCUGGCCAUCAUAUUUCAGAUUGUCGUCGUUGCCCAAAUCAUUCACGAACUGCUCACCAGGCUUACUAGACAAAUGUCACUACAUCAUCUGGAAGUCAUGAUCUUGAAAAACUAAUUUGAGAUUCUAUUGCAGGUGCUCUUCCUGCGGCCAUCUCAAGUGCACUUUCGGCAUCCUCUUCAGGUUAUUCAUACAACAAAUUGGCACACAUUACCCGUGUCAGAAUCUGAAAAUAGGGAUGACCAUGGACACGGGGCGUAGAUUUGGCAGAAUAUUCCUACUAGAGUCGGUUCAUUGUCACUUGCAUCAUUGUUUUCUUUCAGUGUCUACAGCGGAUGUUACUCGUUCAAAUAAAUUGAUCACUCUUUGUCAAAAUAGGAUGGGUCAUCCUCAUUCUUCUCGGCUUCAUCACAUACUUAAAUCAUGUCUUCCUGCAGCACAUCACAUCCAUUCCAGUCUCCUUUUGGUAUGUACAAAUUGUGCCAAUUCAAAAAGUCACAAACUCCCUUUUCCAUCAAGUUCAUCUGUUUAUGAAGAUCCAUUUGAUUUAGUGCAUAGUGAUGUUUGGGGUCCUUCUCCUAUUUUGUCAAGUAUGGUAUAUAAGUACUUUGUGUUAUUUAUUGAUCAUGUAUCUAGAUACACCUGGGUG